UCCAAUAUAUUCUAUAUGAUAGAAAAUAGGAGAAGUUUAUUUUUUUUGGAAAAGCAUUAGAAAAAGUGAUCACCUUUUUAACAAAAGAAAAACCUUUCUCUCCAGCCUAUAAUCAAAAGUGUCAUGUGUUGAGAAUACUUUUGAUUCACAAAUUUGAUUCUUUUUCUCUAUGUGCCCACCCACAUCUUGAGGUGUAGAGAAUGUUCAUGAAGAUCUUGGUGUGAGUACUCUAGCGAGGAUAGGAAGAUCAAAUUAUAUACAAAAAGAUUCAUGGACUCUUGAUAGGCUACAAGAGAUCGGGUGAUCACCAUGGUAAAUGUGAGGUGAAACUUGCGUGGGGAAUUAAGCCUAACAUGCUCUCAACGAAAGCACCAAUCUGUUGACGCAGUUUUUUGCCAACAGUGGAUUAAGAAAUCCGAAAAUAGAGAUAUUGGGAUUUUGCUAAACCGUAAUUGAAUAAAUAAAAAUAGUAUUCAGAUCACCCACACUCUUACGUAGUUCAGUGGUUAAAAUCUACAUGCUCCAUGAGUCACUCUUAUUGAUCUGUUUAUUUCUCACUUAGUAUACAAAAUGUUCUCCCUCUUUCUGUCAAUUCUCCCCUGUAUUUAUAAGGAAUUCAGCCUGGACAGUUUUAGGCAACCGUGCAUAAAUAUGGUAACAUACAAUAUGGGUAAUGUCACAUUUACAUAAAUACAUUAAUGCCUAUUGAUUCUAUGCCUCCAA